rnacentral:rRNA from 1 species
UGGGGAAUAUUGCACAAUGGGCGCAAGCCUGAUGCAGCCAUGCCGCGUGUGUGAAGAAGGCCUUCGGGUUGUAAAGCACUUUCAGCGGGGAGGAAGGCGGUGAGGUUAAUAACCUCACCGAUUGACGUUACCCGCAGAAGAAGCACCGGCUAACUCCGUGCCAGCAGCCGCGGUAAUACGGAGGGUGCAAGCGUUAAUCGGAAUUACUGGGCGUAAAGCGCACGCAGGCGGUCUGUCAAGUCGGAUGUGAAAUCCCCGGGCUUAACCUGGGAACUGCAUUCGAAACUGGCAGGCUAGAGUCUUGUAGAGGGGGGUAGAAUUCCAGGUGUAGCGGUGAAAUGCGUAGAGAUCUGGAGGAAUACCGGUGGCGAAGGCGGCCCCCUGGACGAAGACUGACGCUCAGGUGCGAAAGCGUGGGGAGCAAACAGG